UUCAUUUUUGUUGACCUCGAAUGAAGUUACCAAAAUACCCCUAUCUCUUGUGCAAUUUUAAAAAAAUAUCUAUUGGAUUUUUCUGUAAUUUUCCCUAAUAAACUUCAUUUCUUUAAAUUCCUUCCCUUUGUCGGUCAAGAACAGAGCACGAGGGGAGAGAGUGAGAGAAAUCCUGAAUCUAGAAAUUUCAAGCUUCUCUAUCUUCUCCAUCGGUCUUCUCCGUCUUCUUUGCCUAUUCCCAUAUGUCGUCGGUGUUGAUGAGUCUAGAAGCUUCAUCCGCCGCUGCUAAGAGUUUGAGCUGUGAGUUCUCCCAGUUCUCCCUCCUCUGUUUUCGACACUGUGAAAGGAUGCAUGGAACGUUCUUCUCCCUCUUCCUUGUGCAGUGUCGCAGGUUCUUUCUCCUCCUUCUCUGCUCACGUCGUUGCUGGUUCAAGAUACGUUAGCUGAUGUUGUGCCUUCCGCUAAUCCUUGAGGGGCUGUAAUAUUCAGUUGAGAUGAAAAGCUGAAAUCAAACUUCUUUAAAGUAAAUUUCUUAUGUCAGGUGCUCCACAGAAGCUAUAGUUAGGGUCCUCAUCCUUAUAAUUUAUACUGUGUUAUUUAAUGAUCGGAAGAGAAUUCCUUGCUGCUGCUACUGUUUUGUAAAAUAUUAAAUCUUUUGUUCAUAUGGUUUGUAUUGAGGAUGGCUUAAUUUAUU